rnacentral:rRNA from 1 species
CUGUACAAAGGUAGCAUAAUWWUUAGUCUUUUAAUUGAAGGCUUGAAUGAAUGGUUUAACAGAAAUUUAUCUUUUUUCUUAGUAAAAUUUUUGAAAUUAAUAAUUAAGUAAAAAUGCUUAAAUUAAUCAAAGGGACGAGAAGACCCUAUAGAAUUUAAAAAAUCUUUUGUUAAAAAGUUUUUUUGGUUGGGGUGACGUAAAAAAAACUUUUUAGUAAAAAAAAUCAUAUUUUAUGAUUGAAUGAUCCUAAUAAUUUAGAUAUAAAGAACAAAUUACCUUAGGGAUAACAGCAUAAUUUUUUUUGGAAGAACAUAUUUAUGAAAAAGAUUAUGACCUCGAUGUUGAAUUAAGAUAAUAUUUUGGAGCAGCCUUUAAAAUGUUUAGUCUGUUCGACUUUAAAUUUUACAUGAUUUGAGUUCAGACCGGCGUGAGCCAGGUYGGCUUCUAUCUU